rnacentral:tRNA from 1 species
GCCCUAAUAACUCAAUGGUAGAGUACCGGCCUUUUAAUCCGGCAACCUUGGUUCGAUUCCCAGUUAGGGCAC